GACGAACGCUGGCGGCGUGCUUAACACAUGCAAGUCGAACGGAAAGGCCCUGCUUUUGUGGGAUGCUCGAGUGGCGAACGGGUGAGUAACACGUGAGUAACCUGCCCUUGACUUUGGGAUAACUUCAGGAAACUGGGGCUAAUACCGGAUAGGAGCUCCUGCUGCAUGGUGGGGGUUGGAAAGCUUCGGCGGUUGGGGAUGGACCCGCGGCUUAUCAGCUUGUUGGUGGGGUAGUGGCUUACCAAGGCUUUGACGGGUAGCCGGCCUGAGAGGGUGACCGGCCACAUUGGGCCUGAGAUACGGCCCAGACUCCUCAUGGAGGCAGCAGUGGGGAAUAUUGCACAAUGAGCUGAAGCCUGAUGCAGCAACGCCGCGUGCGGGAUGACGGCCUUAGGGUUGUAAACCGCUUUCGCCUGUGACGAAGCGUGAGUGACGGUACUGGGUAAAGAAGCACCGGCUAACUACGUG
rnacentral:rRNA from 1 species